GACGUAGGUGGCAAGCGUUACUCGGAAUUACUAGGCGUAAAGCGCGCGCAGGUGGCGGUCUAAGUCAGUUGUCAAAUACCCUGGCUCAACUGGGGUCCGCGACUGAAACUGGAUUGCUCGAGUGGGGCAGAGGAAGUCGGAAUUCCCGGUGUAGCGGUGGAAUGCGUAGAUAUCGGGAGGAACACCAGAGGCGAAGGCGGAUUUCUGGGCCUUUACUGACACUGAGGCGCGAAAGCUAGGGGAGCAAACAGGAUUAGAUACCCUGGUAGUCCUAGCUGUAAACGAUGGAAACUAGGUGUGGGAGGUAUCGACCCCUUCCGUGCCGACGCUAACGCAUUAAGUUUCCCGCCUGGGGAGUACGGCCGCAAGGUUAAA
rnacentral:rRNA from 1 species